rnacentral:lncRNA from 1 species
GGUUGCCUAAUUUCCAAGAAAACGUGACGAUAAUUUACAAUAUACAUUAAAGUCAUAUGAAACGAGUGACUGGUGGAAAAUAAUGUUUAUCCAAUUCUUAAACCAAUGCAUGUAUAGUCAAUUUAUUUCUCUCGGUUUAUUAGUAAAGCAGCUUAUCAGUUGUCGUGUUUGCAGCCGUAGAUUACCGAUUUUCACCUUAUUGUAAACAAUCAACAAAGAAACAUGGAUAUUGAUUAUGUACGUAUAUAAAAUGUACAAUGAUCAAAUAGUUUAUUUCAAUGACAGAUUUAUACUUAUUGGCAUCAUCGGAUUUAUACGAGAAAGGCCAAGACAAGUUCACUGCAUACAGAAAACAUAUCGGCGAAUUGUUAAC